GCUCCAGUAGCAUAGUCAGUUAUUGCGCGGCAUUGGUAAUGCCGAGGUCUCGGGUGCGAAUCCCGACUGGAGCU
rnacentral:tRNA from 1 species